GAGAGAGAGGAAACGGCUCAAGUAUCAAAUGUCAUGCACCCUGCUUCAUUUCAACCUUUACAUUAUCCAUUUACAUUCUCUGCAUUGAGUAAUUCCAAUCAGGGUUCACAUAUUACUAUAUUGAGCCCCGUAGGAUUACCAAGUGGAUCCCAUGCAGGACAUUGUUAUCAUAUGGUGAUGGGCUAUACUCCUGGCCCUAGUGGAUCCAUGAAUGCACCAUUGGCUCAAUAUGGGUACCAAUUACCUAAUGUUAGCACGUUUCAACAAAACCUCGUCAACAUUGGAUCUCAGUCAUCAUCACCACUAUCUUAUAAGAAUCAAUCAUUGGGCUGUGAAGAUCACAACCUAUGUUCGAGUAAUUAGAUUUUCUUUUGUUAAAGGUUGCCAAACAAUGAGUCAGAGAUCAUAUUCGUUGGCGGAGAUGUUGAUAUGCUUCCGCUGGUGUUGGAAGACCAGAUUAUGCAAAUCAGAUUGUUAAUUGACUGCUGAUACAAACUAGAUCUCCUACUUUUAAUUGAGGUCUUUUUGUAUUAUGACUUCAAAUUUGCUUUAUUAUGGGAUGAUCUUGAGAAGUGUAUGAGAAGAUUAAAUUACUCUUCUUUUGAUUUGAAUGGGUAUAUAUCAAUGUAUGAACACAAGCUAUGGGGGUAAUGUGGAUUUUGUUUAUGUGAAUUAGAUGUGGGUUGAAUGUGUAAUUGAAUUGUAAAUAUGGGUUGAAUUGGAUGCCAGAACAAAUGGGUUUGGAUUA